rnacentral:rRNA from 1 species
UGGCGUAACAAAGGGAAGCGAGCCCGCGAGGGGGAGCAAAUCCCAAAAAUAAACGUCCCAGUUCGGACUGUAGUCUGCAACCCGACUACACGAAGCUGGAAUCGCUAGUAAUCGCGAAUCAGAAUGUCGCGGUGAAUGCGUUCCCGGGUCUUGUACACACCGCCCGUCACACCAUGGAAGUUGGGGGUGCCCAAAGCCGGCAAGCAAAUAUGCUGUCUAAGGCAAAACCAAUGACUGGGGUGAAGUCGUAACAAGGUAAC